CCUACGGGUGGCAGCAGUGAGGAAUCUUGGUCAAUGGCCGAGAGGCUGAACCAGCCAAGUCGCGUGAGGGAAGACGGCCCUACGGGUUGUAAACCUCUUUUGUCGGGGAGUAAAGCGAGUCACGUGUGACUCUUUGAGAGUACCCGAAGAAAAAGCAUCGGCUAACUCCGUGCCAGCAGCCGCGGUACUACGGAGGUUGCGAGCGUUAUCCGGAUUUAUUGGGGUUAAAGGGUGCGCAGGCGGAGGUGCAAGUCAGCGGUCAAAGUGCGGGGCUCAACCCCGUACUGCCGUGGAAACUGGAUCCCUUGAGUGCGCGAGAAGUAUGCGGAAUGCGUGGUGUAGCGGUGAAAUGCUUAGAUAUCACGCAGAACUCCGAUUGCGAAGGCAGCAUACCGGCGCGGAACUGACGCUCAUGCACGAAAGCGUGGGUAUCGAACAGGAUUAGAUACCCUUGUAGUC
rnacentral:rRNA from 1 species